CCAAAUCAAUUCGCAGUUGGGCUGUCAGAUGGAUCUGUUAAAGUGAUGGAGCCCUUGGAGUCCGAAGGGAAGUGGGGGACACCUGCUCCUGUGGAGAAUGGGGUGGCCAAUGGCAGGACGUCAGCGUCAUCAGCUACCAGCAACCAGGCCACGAAUCAAAACCAAAGAUAGAUGCAUGCCGAUGUCCUCUGUAUAAUCUUCAGAUCUCUACAUUGACUUGUUUGUAUGUUUGUGUCAGCUAGGUCAUGGUUGCAGUUCUUGGAAAGCAAACA